rnacentral:rRNA from 1 species
AUUGAACGCUGGCGGCAGGCUUAACACAUGCAAGUCGAGCGGAGAGAGGUAGCUUGCUACUGAUCUUAGCGGCGGACGGGUGAGUAAUGCUUAGGAAUCUGCCUAUUAGUGGGGGACAACAUUUCGAAAGGAAUGCUAAUACCGCAUACGUCCUACGGGAGAAAGCAGGGGAUCUUCGGACCUUGCGCUAAUAGAUGAGCCUAAGUCGGAUUAGCUAGUUGGUGGGGUAAAGGCCUACCAAGGCGACGAUCUGUAGCGGGUCUGAGAGGAUGAUCCGUCACACUGGGACUGAGACACGGCCCAGACUCCUACGGGAGGCAGCAGUGGGGAAUAUUGGACAAUGGGGGGAACCCUGAUCCAGCCAUGCCGCGUGUGUGAAGAAGGCCUUAUGGUUGUAAAGCACUUUAAGCGAGGAGGAGGCUCUUUUGGUUAAUACCCAAGAUGAGUGGACGUUACUCGCAGAAUAAGCACCGGCUAACUCUGUGCCAGCCGCCGCAGUAACAC